rnacentral:lncRNA from 1 species
AAUCCAAACAGUCUCUUAGUAUAAGUUAUAUAAAAGAAAAAUAAUUAGACUAAGCACUCACCUUAGUGCUCCCCCCGUUUGUAACAAAAAAUUUAAGAUAGUCGUUACCAGCAGCGCUGACGAGGGCUACCGAAGAUUCAAGGUCGGAUUUGGUAUUCAUAUUUUAUUGUAUUAACUUCUCAAAUAAGUCGAUUUGGAUAGUCAUAUUUAGUCCAUCAAUCAAAGUAUCGAAAACACCAAUAAAGAGAUUUCAUACUAAAAUUACUUUUAUUUUAAUCUAUAAUAAGCAUAACUUUUGAUUAUUUAUUUUAAUUUUAUUUUUUGUAAUAAUUAUAAGUGUACCUGCAGUUAUAUUAAUUAUCAUGAAGAGGAGAAGAAGCAAAGAGACAAACUUGGUGAUUCGUGGAGUUUGCUUCGCCAUUGAUGAAUGGUGAUUAGUAAAGUGUAGUAUAGUGCAUGUAGCUGAGCGAUCACAUGUAUGUACAUAAGUAUAAAUACUAGUCUCCAUUUUUUUUCUUCUUUUCUUUCUAUUUAAAUAACUAGUUUUCACAUGUAUACGUUUUUUAUUGUGUUUUAUUUUUAUUUUUAUGAUUUCUUUGUUUGAAUAUGG